rnacentral:rRNA from 1 species
GACGUAGGGGGCAAGCGUUGUCCGGAAUUAUUGGGCGUAAAGAGCUCGUAGGCGGCUUGUCACGUCGGGUGUGAAAGCCCGGGGCUUAACCCCGGGUCUGCAUUCGAUACGGGCUAGCUAGAGUGUGGUAGGGGAGAUCGGAAUUCCUGGUGUAGCGGUGAAAUGCGCAGAUAUCAGGAGGAACACCGGUGGCGAAGGCGGAUCUCUGGGCCAUUACUGACGCUGAGGAGCGAAAGCGUGGGGAGCGAACAGG